GCCUGGCUGGCUCAGUUGGUAGAGCAUGUGACUCUUGAUCUCAGGGUCAUGGGUUCAAGCUCCAUGUUAGGCA
rnacentral:tRNA from 2 species